AUUAAAAUGCAAAUACACCACUAAAUGCACACACACAAAAACUGCAUACAAAACCAUGAUUACAUUCAAAUGCACAAACACUGCUCAUAUAUACAACCCUGUGAAGAUGGGCAAAUGGUAGAUGCCCAGCUGGCAUUGCAUUGUGGGAGUUGUAUUUAAUGGUUUUGGUUAAAUAACUCACAAUGGUUUCCCAAAAAGUCAAAAUGGCAGAGUGUGAGCCUUUCAAAC